AUAAGGUGAAGGAACAGGCAGAACUGUUCGUAUAUGUGGUGUGUUUGGGAGGACCGGCUUCAGGCGCACAGGAUUGCAGCCCUCUGUCAGAGAUUAAGCCGAUCACAUAUAAUGGAUUUAUUGCAAGGCUUUCAGCCUUGUUUUUUUU
rnacentral:sRNA from 1 species